GCUCCCGUGGUGAAACGGAUAUCAUACCGGUCUUCGAAACCGUCGUUCCAAGUUCGAUUCUUGGCGGGAGCA
rnacentral:tRNA from 1 species